UAGAACGCUAGCGGCAGGCUUAAUACAUGCAAGUCGUGGGGCAGCAUGAGUAGCAAUACUUGAUGGCGACCGGCAAACGGGUGAGGAACACGUACACAACCUUCCUUCAAGCGGGGGAAAUAGCCCAGAAGAAAUUUGGAUUAAAACCCCAUAAUAUAUUUGAUAAGGCAUCUUAUUAAUAUUAAAGCUUCGGCACUUGAUGAUGGGUGUGCGGCUGAUUAGAUAGUUGGCGGGGUAACGGCCCACCAAGUCUACGAUCAGUAGCUGAUGUGAGAGCAUGAUCAGCCACACGGGCACUGAGACACGGGCCCGACUCCUACGGGAGGCAGCAGUAAGGAAUAUUGGACAAUGGACGAAAGUCUGAUCCAGCCAUGCCGCGUGAAGGAUUAAGGUCCUCUGGAUUGUAAACUUCUUUUAUAUGGGACGAAAAAAGGGCAUUCUUGUUCACUUGACGGUACCAUAUGAAUAAGCACCGGCUAACUCCGUG
rnacentral:rRNA from 1 species